rnacentral:rRNA from 1 species
AACGAACGCUGGCGGCAUGCCUAACACAUGCAAGUCGAACGCCCGUAGCAAUACGGGAGUGGCAGACGGGUGCAUAACACGUGGGAACCUACCCUAGGGUUCGGAAUAACCGCGGGAAACUGCGGCUAAUACCGGAUACGUCCUCUGGGAGAAAGAUUUAUCGCCCUUGGAGGGGCCCGCGUCGGAUUAGCUAGUUGGUGAGGUAACGGCUCACCAAGGCGACGAUCCGUAGCUGAUCUGAGAGGAUGAUCAGCCACACUGGAACUGAGACACGGUCCAGACUCCUACGGGAGGCAGCAGUGGGGAAUAUUGGACAAUGGGCGCAAGCCUGAUCCAGCAAUGCCGCGUGGGUGAUGAAGGCCUUCGGGUUGUAAAGCCCUUUUGGCAGGGACGACGAUGACAGUACCUGCAGAAUAAGCCCCGGCUAACUUCGUGCCAGCAGCCGCCGUAA